AGAAAAAGCAAAGUGCGCAGAGUAGAGGUGUAAGAGCCAGAGUAAUUUGUUUUUUUGGGGUGUUUUUUAAGAGUUGGUUAGGUGUUCAGUGAAGAGGUGGGUCUUUAGAUGUUUCUUGAAGAUGGUGACAGAUUCUGCGGUCUGGAUUGAGGUGGGAAGUUCAUUCCACCACUGAGGAACAGUUAGUGUGAAGGUUCUGCACUGUUAUAUGAUGAUAACUGAACACAGAGUGAUCAUGCUCCAGGUUAUUUUGUUUGCCAAUUACACAACAGAUCACAAGUCCAACAACCAAACACUGCUACAGAUUCUUUUAGAAUUUAAACGGCGGCUUGGAUGUUAAGGCUUUGGGUUACUGAUCGGAAGGUCGGGGGUUCAAGCCCCAGCACUGCCAGUCUUUUGGUUACUGAUCGGAAGGUCGGGGGUUCAAGCCCCAGCACUGCCAGGCUUUGGGUUACUGAUCGGAAGGUCAGGGGUUCAAGCCCCAGCACUGCCACUGUGAUAAAUUAAACCUUUUAUUUGUACUUGUGUUCGACGCACGUGAAUCGAAGCGGCCUUUGGCUGAAUGCGCAUUGUGAUGACGCAUUUUGGCCCAACUCUGCAUAAAUCUGUGGUCAUUUUGAAGAAUCGCAAGCUCCUGCGAAUAUUGCGAAGUUUCUUUGAU
ensembl:lncRNA